GAGGAAUAUUGCACAAUGGGAGCAAUCCUGAUGCAGCGACGCCGCGUGCGGGAUGAAGGGGCUUAGCCUCGUAAACCGCUGUCGGAGGGGACGAAUGGUACAUUUGAUGUACUGAGACGGUACCCUCAAAGGAAGGAUCGGCUAACUACGUGCCAGCAGCCGCGGUAAUACGUAGGAUCCGAGCGUUGUCCGGAAUUACUGGGUGUAAAGGGUGCGUAGGCGGACUUGUGCGUCAGAGGUGAAAUCCACGGGCUUAACCCGUGGGGUGCCUUUGAUACGGCAAGUCUUGAGUGCGAGAGAGGUGGGUGGAAUUCCUGGUGUAGCAGUGAAAUGCGUAGAUAUCAGGAGGAACACCGAUGGCGAAGGCAGCCCACCGGCUCGCAACUGACGCUGAGGCACGAAAGCGUGGGGAUCAAAC
rnacentral:rRNA from 1 species